UGCAGUCGAACGAGAAACCAUUCUUCGGAAUGGCGGACAGUGGCGCACGGGUGAGUAACACGUGGGAACCUACCCUAUGGUUUGGAAUAACCGCGGGAAACUGCGGCUAAUACCGAAUAAGCCCUUCGGGGGAAAGAUUUAUCGCCAAAGGAUGGGCCCGCGGCGGAUUAGCUUGUUGGUGAGGUAACGGCUUACCAAGGCUACGAUCCGUAGCUGGUCUGAGAGGACGGUCAGCCACACUGGGACUGAGACACGGACCAGACUCCUACGGGAGGCAGCAGUGAGGAAUAUUGCACAAUGGAGGAAACUCUGAUGCAGCCAUGCCGCGUGCAGGAUGACGGCCCUAUGGGUUGUAAACUGCUUUUUUACAAGAAGAAACAUUGGUACGUGUACCAACUUGACGGUAUUGUAAGAAUAAGCACCGGCUAACUCCGUGCCAGCAGCCGCGGUAAUACGGAGGGUGCAAGCGUUAUCCGGAUUUAUUAGGUUUAAAGGGUUCGCAGGCGGAAUUUUAAGUCAGUGGUGAAAGCCUAUAGCUUAACUAUAGAACUGCCACUGAUACUGAUAUUCUUGAGUGUAGAUGAAGUGGGCGGAAUAUGUCAUGUAGCGGUGAAAUGCAUAGAUAUGACAUGGAACACCAAUUGCGAAGGCAGCUCACUAAACUAUUACUGACGCUCAUGAACGAAAGCAUGGGGAGCGAACAGGAUUAGAUACCCUGGUAGUCCAUGCCGUAAACGAUGAUCACUA
rnacentral:rRNA from 1 species